GAACGGGUGAGUAACACGUGGGUGAUCUGCCCUGCACUUUGGGAUAAGCCUGGGAAACUGGGUCUAAUACCGAAUAGGACCACGCGCUUCAUGGUGUGUGGUGGAAAGCUUUUGCGGUGUGGGAUGGGCCCGCGGCCUAUCAGCUUGUUGGUGGGGUAAUGGCCUACCAAGGCGACGACGGGUAGCCGGCCUGAGAGGGUGACCGGCCACACUGGGACUGAGAUACGGCCCAGACUCCUACGGGAGGCAGCAGUGGGGAAUAUUGCACAAUGGGCGCAAGCCUGAUGCAGCGACGCCGCGUGAGGGAUGACGGCCUUCGGGUUGUAAACCUCUUUCAAUAGGGACGAAGCGCAAGUGACGGUACCUAUAGAAGAAGCACCGGCCAACUACGUGCCAGCAGCCGCGGUAAUACGUAGGGUGCGAGCGUUGUCCGGAAUUACUGGGCGUAAAGAGCUCGUAGGUGGUUUGUCGCGUUGUUCGUGAAAACUCACAGCUUAACUGUGGGCGUGCGGGCGAUACGGGCAGACUAGAGUACUGCAGGGGAGACUGGAAUUCCUGGUGUAGCGGUGGAAUGCGCAGAUAUCAGGAGGAACACCGGUGGCGAAGGCGGGUCUCUGGGCAGUAACUGACGCUGAGGAGCGAAAGCGUGGGGAGCGAACAGGAUUAGAUACCCUGGUAGUCCACGCCGUANACGGUGGGUACUAGGUGUGGGUUCCUUCCUNNGGAUCCGUGCCGUAGCUAACGCAUUAANNNCCCCGCCUGGGGAGUACGGCCGCNNNNNUAAAACUCAAAGGAAUUGACGG
rnacentral:rRNA from 1 species